rnacentral:rRNA from 1 species
UACGUAGGUGGCAAGCGUUGUUCGGAAUUAUUGGGCGUAAAGGGCUCGUAGGCGGUUUGUCGCGUCGGGAGUGAAAACCUCGGGCUUAACUCGGGGCUUGCUUUCGAUACGGGCAGACUAGAGGUAUGCAGGGGAGAACGGAAUUCCCGGUGUAGUGGUGAAAUGCGUAGAUAUCGGGAGGAAUACCAGUGGCGAAGGCGGCUUCUUGGCCUAUUCUUGACGCUGAGGCGCGAAAGCUGGGGGAGCAAACGGG